rnacentral:tRNA from 1 species
GUCGAGGUGGCGGAAUUGGUAGACGCUCUAGGUUGAGGGCCUAGUGUCCAUUGCGGACGUGCGGGUUCGACUCCCGCUCUCGACA